GACGAACGCUGGCGGCGUGCUUAACACAUGCAAGUCGAACGGUAAGGCCCUUCGGGGUACACGAGUGGCGAACGGGUGAGUAACACGUGGGUGAUCUGCCCUGCACUUCGGGAUAAGCCUGGGAAACUGGGUCUAAUACCGGAUAGGACUCCGGACUGCAUGGUCUGGGGUGGAAAGCUUUUGCGGUGUGGGAUGGGCCCGCGGCCUAUCAGCUUGUUGGUGGGGUGAUGGCCUACCAAGGCGACGACGGGUAGCCGGCCUGAGAGGGUGACCGGCCACACUGGGACUGAGAUACGGCCCAGACUCCUACGGGAGGCAGCAGUGGGGAAUAUUGCACAAUGGGCGCAAGCCUGAUGCAGCGACGCCGCGUGAGGGAUGACGGCCUUCGGGUUGUAAACCUCUUUCAGAACCGACGAAGCGCAAGUGACGGUAGGUGCAGAAGAAGGACCGGCCAACUACGUGCCAGCAGCCGCCGUAA
rnacentral:rRNA from 1 species